UACGUAGGGGGCAAGCGUUGUCCGGAUUUAUUGGGCGUAAAGAGCGUGUAGGCGGCUUUGCAAGUCCGUUGUGAAAACUCGAGGCUCAACCUCGAGACGCCGGUGGAAACUGCAAAGCUAGAGUCCGGAAGAGGAGAGUGGAAUUCCUGGUGUAGCGGUGAAAUGCGCAGAUAUCAGGAAGAACACCCGUGGCGAAGGCGGCUCACUGGCCCGGUACUGACGCUGAGGCGCGAAAGCGUGGGGAGCAAACAGG
rnacentral:rRNA from 1 species